GAGUUUUGGGUUAUAUUUAUAAUAACUAAUAUUUAUUCAGUUUAGAGUUUUGACGAAGAUCAAAAUUGUAUAUUUUAUUUAUUAAUACUUGGAAUUGUUCGCUUUUUAAAAAGUUGCAUUAUUUUUACCAUUAUAUUUUUGGAACAUAGGUUGUAGCCGUAGAUACUACCUAAACUAUUUUUGUCUAUUUAGCAAAAAAAGUGUCACGUCAAUGUCAAUCAAAAAUAUGUCAAAACAUAGGAUUGAACGUAAAGUAUAAACGAUUAAGUUGUAAACACCUCGAUGCCAUUAAAUAUCGUAAAUUUAUAAAAGAAAUUUGUAAUUGUUUUUGUAAAAGCUAUCUAUGAUAAUGUUAUGUUUAUAGUUUUUAAUGUGUAAUAUAUAAGACAUUUUGUUAAUAUAUCCAAUGGUAGUUGUCUAGUAAAGAUAAUUUUUAAAUUAAGUAUUUGACUUCAACAUCAUGUCUGACGAUUUCAUACCUUUAAAUCAAAGUACACCAGUUCAAGGAAGAUGGCAACAGAAAGGUCAUUCACAACAAAACAGUUAUCAAAACAAUUGGCAGCAGAAAAAUAACAGACGUAGACAGGGUCGACAUCAAAAAGGAUGGUCAAAUAACUCUCAUCAAAGUAACAGUUUUGGAAGUGAUUCCAACAACAGCUAUAAUAGAGACAGUCAAGGCAUUGACGCGUACUUGCAUCCUUCAAUGCUUCAAGAUCCAUGGGCACAUUUAAGAGAAGCAAAACAAUAAUUAUAAUCUUUUCUACGUCUGUAUCUGAAUAUUUAUAAUAUACUGAUGUAAUAUUGAUAAAUGUAAAAAUAACAAAUAUGUUAAUUUUAAAA